rnacentral:rRNA from 1 species
AUUGAACGCUGGCGGCAGGCCUAACACAUGCAAGUCGAGCGAGCGGCGGAGGGGUGUGUAGUGUCUGGGACUCUGCCUGAUGGAGGGGGAUAACCACUGGAAACGGUAGAUAAUACCGCAAACCAACAUAUGUGCCCAGAUGGGAUUAGCUAGUGGGUGGGGAAAUGGCUCAUCUAGGCGACGAUCCCUAGCUGGUCUGAGAGGAUGACCAGCCACACUGGAACUGAGACACGGUCCAGACUCCUACGGGAGGCAGCAGUGGGGAAUAUUGCACAAUGGGCGCAAGCCUGAUGCAGCCAUGCCGCGUGUGUGAAGAAGGCCUUCGGGUUGUAAAGCACUUUCAGCGGGGAGGCGUUACUCGCAGAAGAAGCACCGGCUAACUCCGUGCCAGCAGCCGCGGUAAUAC